CUUGCCCCAGGGCUACCCCCACAAUUCCUGUCACAGUAGUGGUGGCACCACUGUGAGCUCAUUUCUUCCUCACAGUACCACCUGGGGGGGUGGGAACCAUAGCUGUCUCCAUUUUCCUGAAGAGUAGAUUGAGAUGUGAGCAUGAUGGGACAGAGAAAAGGGGCCAGGACCAGAAGAUCUGUGGGGUGGGUGAGGGAUAUGCUGCCAAGAAUCAGGCGCAUUCACUCAGUGGAACCCAGAAGCCAGAAAGAUGCUGGAGGAUGUGCUCCAGCAAAACAAGCAGGUAAACCAAGAAAGAGGAGGACCUGGGGUGCAGGAAGCAGGGGACCUAGCCCUACAGAGAGGCCAAGAGAAGCUCCAAGAAGGAAGAGGGAGCUCCUGCCACUCGCCUGCCAUUGUGGUGCAGAACGGGGCACAGGCAGAGGCCAGCGGCAGGAAGACUCAGAAGACUGGGCAAUGUGGGUAUUUAACAAAUGGAAGAAGUCCCUGUAUGGUAGGUGCCCUGGAGGCAGAAAUCCUGGGCCUGAGGAGCCAGUGGGAGCCCGUCUCUCUUCUGCGGUCACUCUUGUCAAAUUAUGUCAGCUGGAUUUGUUCAUAGAAUAUGGCUUCCAAAAGAAUAGCAGCCACAGGUGCUGGGCUGGAGGGAAGAGAUCAUGACCCGACUAAGUGGCGGUCCUCAGGCAGUUUGGAGAAGGGAAAGAUCUUUCAAGAAUGAAAGUGAAAUAAAGCCUGAGGGAGUUCAAUGCCAUCGAAUUGAAAGGAAUUCCGCAAAAUGUAUCUCAGGGAGAAGGAAAGUGAUCUCAGCUGAAGGCUUGAGGUGGAAGAAGGAAUGAAGGAGACAGAGAGCACUUGUGAGGGAAACUCACCCCUAGAAACUGGCAGCCCCAAGACAGGGAAGCACCUGUGGGCUUAGCAAAGCCUCCCACAGAAAGUGGCCUGUGAACCACACACGAUGGGUGAGCCGGAGACAACCAAUGGAGGAGUGCAGAUGUCCCAGCAGCUUCAGAGCCCAGGGCCUCAAGCAGCUGAGAUAGGCCAGUGGGGCUGUAGCCAGCAGGGGCUGCGUGAUUAUGGACUCCAGCAGCCCUGCCAGAGGCGGCACCUUUAUCAACAGUUGCAGCCCUAGCCAAGAAGGUGCUUCCUCCUAGAUGCAGAACCAACAGUGCCAGCUUCUGCCAGUGCCAGCUUCUCCCACAGCACCAGCUUCUCCCACAACGCCACCUUCUCCCACAACAUCAGCUUCUCCCAGAGCGCCAGCUUCUCCCACAGUGCCAGCUUCUCCCACAGCACCACCUUCUCCCACAGUGCCACCUUCUCCCACAACACCAGCUUCUCCCACAGCACAACUUUCUCCCACAGUGCCAACUUCUCUCACAGAGACACCUUCUCCCACUACACCAGCUUCUCCCACAGCACCAGCUCUUCCAAUAGAG
rnacentral:lncRNA from 1 species